UUCUUUCCUCGGCUGGCGCUCAGAUGGACAGGUGCACUGGCGCUCAGAUGGGCAGGUGCUGGAGCAGCCCUGCUGGAAGCGGUGCAACCUUCAGGAAGCCAGAGGAAGGGGCAGAGAGGGACCUUUGCUUUCCAGGUUGCCUUUUAUACUGCCUCUGGACCCCUGACGCGAAACGGACCCUAACCUAAUCAACUUAAUCCAAUUACAUGACCUGGAAAGGUCUAUUUGCCCAGCCCACUCUAAGACGAUGUUCACUAUGGACAGACAUUCUAAAACCUACCUGUACAGCUGCAAGCUUUGAAGAAUAGAUGUUUCCCGUCAGGAAGCCCUUGGAAACCACCGUGAAUUGGACUGCACUGGGAAACCCAGAUGAAGAAAGUCAACACCUCUUUGUCCUUCGGUGCCUGGCUCCUUUUUCAGCUCAUCCUGCGGCUCCAGGCAUUAUGCCUGAAGAGUCUCCAGGACACCGGUGGGGCUCUAUUUCCUUGGGUCCUGUUGCCAUUUCUCUGGAUUUGCGAAGAUCCAGCGGACUUUCUGUGGAACUCUCUUGUCGGGGAACUUGGGUGCCACGUCCCCUCAUUCUGCCCUUCGUCAUCUGCACCUGCACGAGUUAGGGUCCAAGUUCCCUGGAUGGGAAGAGACAGGCAGGAGUCGGAAUGGUGAACCAGCACACUGGGGGCAUUUUCUCACUUGGUCCAAGUGGCCCCAUGGUCUUCUAGAGCUUUGGAACCAGUCGCGUCCCACUUGACACUACACCCGACUCUCAGUUGCUGAAUCUUGUUGGCCCUCUGGCCAUCUCCUGUUGGAUGAGUUGCACCUGCUGAAACUCGAUUUCCCCUGGAUUUGCGCUUCAUUAAUUAUUCAUGAUUCAGGUGGGAACGCCUGCUUACAUCCCCCUGUGGCCAUUCUCUGAGCUUUCCGGUCACAUCGUUUCCUGCCAUGCUCUUUGGUUCAUUUUGGUCAUGCUCCUUCUGCUGUCAGAGGAGCAGAGAGUUGAUCUUGUUGAUUCUGGAUACUGAUAGUUUCUAGGUGAUCUGGAUAACCAAGGUAACGACCCUCAACGGCGGUGGAAAGGGAGCAGCCAUUUGGCGUUGCUCAGAAAAUCCCACUCAGUUCCCAGGCCUCCUAGAUGUGCAAUCCUGGUCAGAGUUGUUCCCAGGUCAGAGAACGGAGAUAGCCUGUGCAUGGUGGGAUAUCUUUACCUAGAGCUUUCAGUGAGUCUCGACCUCAGCUACUCUUAGGAUCGGGGGAGAAGCACGGAAAGGCCCUGUGCUCAGGCAUCUGGAAAGAAGACGGGAUGAAUAUUCUACCUCUGAAGUACAUCCCAAAUCUGGGAGUUUACUUCCCAGAUUAAUAGUGUCAUCGAUAAUUAUUAAAAUUGGUCAUUAGUGUUUAAUAAUUAAUCAUAUUAUUACUCCUAAUACCGCAGGGUGUGUACACCUACCUGUGAUGUCAUUCUUAAUAUCCAGGGAGGGAGAGCAUGGUUUUAGUUUUAAUAUCGCAAUAAGCGCACACUCACCCUGUGACACAAAUCCUAAUAUCCAGUGUGGUAGAGUAUGACAUGACUCCCAACAUAGCAAUGAAUAGACAGCCACCCGGUGAUAUGGCUCCUUAUAUUCACGGAAGAUGAGUAUGAUAUUAGUCCCAAUAUCGCAGGGAGGGUACAGGUCUUCUGUGUUAUGAUUUCUAAUAUCCAGAGGAGGAGAGGAUGAUAAUAAUUCCAGUGUCAUAGGCUGUGUUCACCGGCCCUGUGACAUUGUUAUUAAUGUCUUCAAAGGGAGAGGAUAUUACUCCCAACGUGGCAGGGGGUGUACAUCCACCCUGUGAUAUUGUUUAUAUUCCAAGGCUGAGAGGUUGAUAUUACUCCUAGUAUCACAGACACUGUACACCCCCGUGUUUUUAAUCCCUGCAAUAUUCGGAGUAGUAUCAUCCUCUCCUGGGUGGAAAUUGGGAACAGUAUCACCGGGGGCGUGUACACACCCUGCGAUAUUGAAAGUAAUAUCAUCCUCUUCCCUCCUGGAUCAUGGAAACAACAUCACUGUGGGGGUGUACACUUUCUGCGAUAUUGGGAGUAACAUUAUCUUCUGUGCCUUGGAUUAUUAAGGACAAUAUCACGGGGGCAUGUGCACAUCUUCUGCAAUAUUGGGAAUAAUAUUAUCCUCUCUCCCCCUGCAUAUUAGGAAAGAUAUCACAGAGUGGGUGUUCACCUCCUUCGAUAUGGGGAUUAAAACCAUCUUCUCCUGUUCCAGAUAUCAGGAGGAAUAUCACACGGGGAUGUACAGUGUCUGUGAUACUGGGAGUAAUAUCAACCUCUCGGCCUAGGAAUAUUAAGAAGAGUAUCACAGGGUGGAUGUAUACCCCCUGUCAUAUUGGAAGUAAUAUUAGCCUCUCCCCCCGAUGGAUAUUAGGAACAAUAUCCCAGACUGGGUGUAUGCCUCCUGCUCUACGGGGCGUAAUAUCAUCCUCUCCCUUCUAUGAUAUAAAUAACAAUAUCACAGGGCAGGUGAACACAGCCUGCGAUACUGGAAUUAUUAUCAUCCUCUCCCCCUCUGGAUACUAGGAACCAUAUCACAGAUGAGUUGUACCCUCCCUGCGAUAUUGGGAGAGAUAUUAUACGCUUCUUCCGUGAAUAUUAGGAGCCAUAUCACUGGGUGGCUGUCUAUUCAUUGCUAUGUUGGGAGUCAUGUCAUACUCUACCCCCUAGAUAUUAGCAUCACUGCACAGGGUGAGUGCACACCUACUGCGAUAUUAAAAUUAAAAUCAUGCUCUCCGUCCCUGGAUAUUAGGAACACAUCACAGGUAGGUGUACACCCCCUGCGGUAUUAAGAGUAAUAAUAGGAUUAAUUAUUAAACAUCUAUGGUCGAUUUUGAUAAUUAUCAAUGACACAAUUAAUAAGAUACCAUUAUUAACUAUGGAUAAUUAUUUUAAAUAUAUGAUUAUGUACUCUUGAAAAUAAUUAGUAAUAUUAAUGUCAUUUAACAAUAUUAUUAGUUCUUAAUAUUAAUAAUUAUUUUAUUACCAACAUCACUUAGUAUUGAUUUAAGUAACAUUAAUUGCUGAUAUCAUUAUUUUAUUAAUAGUGAUAUUAUGAUUAAUUGUUAUACUAAUCGUUAACAUUUUUUACCAGUAUUAAUUUAUACUAUCUUUAUUGUGAUUAUUAAUAUUGAUGAUUGCUAUCAAUUUUUAUUAUAUUUAUUAAUAUUAAUAAUUAACAGACUUGUUCCUGAUAUCCGACGGGGAGAGGAUGAUAUUACUCCCAAUAUCGAAGAAAAUGUACAUCUCUCUAUGAUAUUAUUUCUAAUAGUCAGGGGGUAGAGGAUGACAUUAUUGAAACUAUCGCAGUGGGUGUCCAUCCCUUCGGUCAUUUUGUUCCUUGUAUCCUGAGUGGGAGAGGUUGAUAUGACUCCCAAUAUCACAAGAAGUGUACUACCGCCUGUAAUAUAGUUCCUAACAUCUAGGUGGGGAGAGGAUGAUAUUACUGCCCAUAUCGCACGAGUUGUAAAACCCCUUCGAUAUUUUGCUUACGAUCCUGAGGGGAGAAGAUGAUAUUACUCCCAAUAUCGAAGAAGAUGUACAACCCCCUGUGACACUAUGUUCAAUAUCCACUUUGGGAGACGAUGACAUUACACCCAAUAUCGCAGGGGAUGUACAUCCACCUUGGGAUAUUGUUCCUUAUAUCGAGAGGGGGAGAAGAUGUUAUUACUCCCAAUAACGCAGGGGCUGUGGCUGUACACCCCUCCUGUGUAAUUGUUUUUAAUAUCCUAGGCAAGAGAGGAUGACACUACACCCAAUAUCGCAGGGGGUGUACAUUCACCCGGUGAUAUUGUUCUUAAUGUACUCCACCUCUGUCCGCCAGGGAUAUCGUUUCUAAUAUCCAGGGGAAGAGAGGAUAACAUUAUGCCCAAUAUCGCAGAGGAGUAUACACACCCUCUUAGAUGUUGUUCCUAGUAUCCAAAGAUAGAGACGAUGAUGUUACUGGCCAUAUCGCAGCGGUGUACACCCUUCUGUGAUACUGUUUUUGACAUUCAGUGGGGGAGGGGAUAACAUUAAUCCCAAUAUCACAGAAGGCGUACAGACCCCUGUGAUGUAGUUCCUAAUGUACAGAGGAAAGAGAAGAAUAUUGCUCUCAAUAUCGCAGGGGGUGAAACCACCCUGUCCCCUGUAUAUUGCUCCUAAUACGCAGUGGCAUGGAGGCUGAUAGUACUCCCAAUAUCCCAGAAGGUGCACACACACCUGUGAUGUAGUUCCUAAUAUCUAGCGGGAAAGAGGCUGAUUUUACUUUCGAUAUUGCAGUGGGUGUACACCGCCCCCAACCCCAGGGUAUCAUUCCUAAUAUCCAGGCGGGAAGAAGAUGACAUGGCU